AAGCUCGUAGUUGAAUUUCGGGAUCAAAUUGUCGGUCGUGCCUCGGUACGUACUGGCGUUAUUGGUUCCUCCCUUCUGAAGAACCACGAUGUCAUUAAUUUGGUGUCGCGGGGAAUCAGGACUGUUACUUUGAAAAAAUUAGAGUGUUUAAAGCAGGCUCGCGCUUGAAUACAUUAGCAUGGAAUAAUGAAAUAGGACGUUUGAUUCUAUUUUGUUGGUUUCUAGGAUCGACGUAAUGAUUAAUAGGGAUAGUUGGGGGCAUUAGUAUUCAAUUGUCAGAGGUGAAAUUCUUGGAUUUAUUGAAGACUAACUACUGCGAAAGCAUUUGCCAAGGAUGUUUUCAUUAAUCAAGAACGAAAGUUAGGGGAUCGAAGACGAUCAGAUACCGUCGUAGUCUUAACCAUAAACUAUGCCGACUAGGGAUCGGAUGAUGUUAAUUUUUUAAUGACUCAUUCGGCGCCUUACGGGAAACCAAAGUGUUUGGGUUCCGGGGGGAGUAUGGUCGCAAGGCUGAAACUUAAAGGAAUUGACGGAAGGGCACCACCAGAGGUGGAGCCUGCGGCUUAAUUUGACUCAACACGGGGAAACUCACCAGGUCCAGACAUAGUAAGGAUUGACAGAUUAAGAGCUCUUUCUUGAUUCUAUGGGUG
rnacentral:rRNA from 1 species